rnacentral:misc_RNA from 1 species
CGAACAGACAAGAGAAUUGGUCUCAUGAAUGAAGUAUUGGCUGCAAUGGACACAGUCAAAUCUUAUGCAUGGGAGGAUAGUUUCCAGUCCAAGGUUCAAGAUGUUCGAAAUGAGGAGCUGUCUUGGUAUAGGAAAGCACAAUUACUGGGAGCGUUAAAUAGCUUCAUUCUGAACAGUAUUCCUGUUGUGGUGAUUGUCAUUUCAUUUGGCGUGUUCUCCCUGCUCGGAGGAGAUCUAACACCAGCAAGGGCAUUUACAUCUCUAUCGUUGUUCGCAGUGUUGCGUUUUCCUCUCUUCAUGCUUCCUAAUAUAAUAACACAGGUUGUUAAUGCAAACGUAUCGUUGAAACGUCUAGAAGAGCUUCUCUUGGCUGAAGAGAGGAUACUUCUUCCAAAUCCACCUCUUGAGCCUGGACUUCCAGCAAUUUCAAUCAAGAAUGGAUGCUUUUCAUGGGAUUCAAAGGCAG